GUUUUUCUGGUAGGGCUUUCAGACCUUCAGAUAAAGGAGCUCUCGAAAUACAACCCAUAAGGAAUAAAGCCAUAGCCAGUGCUUCCCUGGGUUUGGGGAGUCAGAGGUUACAGGAAGGAUUCAUGGAAUCCCCAGAAGGCUGGAAGAUCAGGGUUGAGACAGUCGGAACCAAGGAAGCUCUGGAAACUUAAGAAGUAGGAGGCACAGCAAGUCUCACGGCAAGAAGAGCUU
rnacentral:lncRNA from 1 species